rnacentral:rRNA from 1 species
CCUACGGGGGGCAGCAGUGAGGAAUAUUGGUCAAUGGCCGGAAGGCUGAACCAGCCAUGCCGCGUGAAGGUCAGUGCCCUAUGGGCGUUAAACUUCUUUUUUGCGGGAGCAAUAAUGGUCACGUGUGGCCAGACGAGAGUACCGUACGAAUAAGCAUCGGCUAACUCCGUUCCAGCAGCCGCGGUAAGACGGGGGAUGCAAGCGUUAUCCGGAGUUUUUGGGGUUAAAGGGAGCGUAGAUGGGUUGUUAAGUCAGGUGUGAAAGUUUGCGGCUCAACCGUAAAAUUGCAAUUGAUACUGGCAGCCUUGAGUAUAGUUGAGGUAGGCGGAAGUCGUGGUGUAGCGGUGAAAUGCUUAGAUAUCACGAAGAACUCCGAUUGCGAAGGCAGCCUACUAAACUGCCACUGACAUUGAUGCUCGAAAGUGUGGGUAUCAAACAGGAUUAGAUACCCUAGUAGUC